UUCAAAUGUAGAAGAAAUGGAGAAGAUUCAUGUAAACAUGGUGGUUUCUUAAGCUUUCAUAUUUUGAAUGGAUAAACCUUUUUCCUAAGAUGACCAAUGUUGUGCCCAGUGUGACAACGAUUAGGAUCCCGUGUGACCAGACAAGAUAUGGUGGGAAAAUUGGAAAGCUUAAGAACAUGAAAGGCAGUCCCUGCUACAUGGUCAAACUCCUGGAACACAGUCAUAUUCUGAUAGACAGAGAUCUUAAAAGAAAGGCCAUCUUAAAAGAGAGGCUUGCUCUGCAGCAAGGACAGUGCAUUCAACUGAAAAGUGGACCAACAUUUUUUAACAUUUAUGCAUUCUGUUUGAUAAUGAUCUCGUCUGGCAUUUUCAUUAUCCAAUGAGUUAUGCCUCAAUCCCCUGUGCUAGGGGAAUACAUAGAUUUCAGAAAAACGUUUAAACGUGUAGUGUCAAUUAUAAAAAGUGACUAUAAGAAAUGCCAUUGAUUUUGUUUGCUUGUACAAAUAUAGGAUUUUAAUUUCAUUGUGUGAGCUCCUUUACCUUUUUAAGUUUUGUAAU